UCAGCUGUAACCCCCCAGCAACACAGACUGACCAGUAAGAGGCAAGAAGGAGCAAUGGGGCUUUGUUGACAGGCAGACCUUGUUACCCCUCCCAGGCACUCAGGGUAACUCCAAUAAGUUGCUGAUUGCUUCUGAGGGAGUAGGGUUUGGAGAGGAAGGUGUAGGAUUUGUUGGUUGUGUUUUUUUUCCUUUUUUCUUUUUUUUUUCCUGUGAUGAAUAAUAUGGGUGGAAUUUGGUUUUGCUCAGGAAAAAAAAAAAAGGUAGCUUUGGUUUUGCUGGAGCUCUGUGGCAGUGAAAUGUGCUGUUGCACAUGGUGUGCUCCUGCUCCUUGACCUCUCUGCUGCUCAGCUUGCUGCUUUGAGCUUUCUGUGUACUCAUGAAGUGAGUUCAGUGCCUUCUGCCUUGCUUCCUCAAGGAAAAGAGCAACAGCUAUGGAGGAGAAGGGAGCCUUGCUGCUCUUGUCCGUAUGUGAUGAUCCAGAGCAAGACUUGAGGGAAUCCGGGGAAGACUGUAUUGUAAUAUUUUCCAUCUUCUCCUGACAUACCAGAAACUUGAUCAUCUGACUCUGCUCUUCUUCUGCAGCAACUCUCAGUCCUCUGCAACAAGCCUCCGUGUUGAGCUACGGAGAGAGUGGUGUUAUUCCGGGUGGUAUCCACAUGUAUUGAAAGGGGAAUGGAAGCUGUGAUCACAGCUCGACUGCUCUUUGUCUGCAGACUUUGGACACAAGUUUCUGCAGCUGACCUGCUGAUUUCACAUUGCAGUUGAAAACGUAGUUCUCAGCAAGCCCCAGCGAUACACUGACAGCUGAAUUUGGCCAAGCAUAUGCCCCUCCUAUUGACAUACAUUGCAAGUUUAAUCUGUGUCCUCCCAUCCUAUGCAGCUGGAAGAUUUAUUGCUGCUAGAGGAGCCUCAGAAGAAGUGUCCUUUUCAUGCAGUUUUACCUUGAAGUUUCAGUAGUGGAUUGAUAAUUCACUGCACGUGCAAUGCACUUAUUUCUUCCUAACUCAGUUUUGGAAGGCUGUUCAUGACUUGCAAUGAGGCAGUGAGGCUCGGCAGAAAAAAGAAGAGCUACGGCAGUGCUCAGAUGUGGCCAGACAGAACAACUGGGGCAAAGGAAAGUGAAAAGGCUGCAGAAAGGUAGAGUCAGCCAUUGCCUUGCACGGUCUCUUUCCUGCUCCUUUUCACAAGGACAGUGAGCUGGUUUGUACCGCUUGUAUCCUGGGAAACGCUCAUAAUGGAUUUACUUUUGCAGAAAACACCACUGACUUUGUCUCUGAAAGAACAGAGCAGAAAAUGUAAUUGAACCAGCAAAUCAUCAAUAGCUUGGCCUACUGGGUAGAGCAGAAGACUUGAGAGGCAGGACUCGACUCCUGAGCUGUUUUCCAGCAUGGUUGCUGACUGGGUGGUGGCCGGGGGCCAAAUGACUCCAGUUUGAUGUUUGCUUGCUUGCUCACCCAAGCCUUGGUGCUCAGUAAUUUGACUUCUUGCCACUUAUUUUAGGCCAUACAUGAAAGGUAUGCACAGUGGCAGGCAGGUGGUUUCCAGGCACCUCGCAGAAGUUCAUUUGCAAAAGGGAAGAGUGUUACCUCAUCUGUUGAUUAUGGUUCAGAGAAAAAGCUUUAAUGAUUGUUUAAACGGAAAAUGUUUUGUGUACACAGGAGACGAUUCACAGCU